rnacentral:rRNA from 1 species
UACGUGGGGUGCGAGCGUUAAUCGGAAUUACUGGGCGUAAAGCGUGCGCAGGCGGUUUUUUAAGCCAGAUGUGAAAUCCCCGGGCUCAACCUGGGAACUGCAUUUGGAACUGGAAGACUAGAGUAUAGCAGAGGGGGGUAGAAUUCCACGUGUAGCAGUGAAAUGCGUAGAUAUGUGGAGGAAUACCAAUGGCGAAGGCAGCCCCCUGGGUUAAUACUGACGCUCAUGCACGAAAGCGUGGGGAGCAAACAGGGAUUAGAUACCCUGGUAGUCCACGCCCUAAACGAUGUCAACUAGGUGUUGGGGGAGGAGACUUCCUUAGUACCGCAGCUAACGCGUGAAGUUGACCGCCUGGGGAGUACGGUCGCAAGAUUAAAACUC